GAUGAACGCUGGCGGCGUGCCUAAUACAUGCAAGUCGAGCGAACAGACGAGGAGCUUGCUCCUCUGACGUUAGCGGCGGACGGGUGAGUAACACGUGGAUAACCUACCUAUAAGACUGGGAUAACUUCGGGAAACCGGAGCUAAUACCGGAUAAUAUAUUGAACCGCAUGGUUCAAUAGUGAAAGACGGUUUUGCUGUCACUUAUAGAUGGAUCCGCGCCGCAUUAGCUAGUUGGUAAGGUAACGGCUUACCAAGGCAACGAUGCGUAGCCGACCUGAGGGGGUGAUCGGCCACACUGGAACUGAGACACGGUCCAGACUCCUACGGGAGGCAGCAGUAGGGAAUCUUCCGCAAUGGGCGAAAGCCUGACGGAGCAACGCCGCGUGAGUGAUGAAGGUCUUCGGAUCGUAAAACUCUGUUAUUAGGGAAGAACAAAUGUGUAAGUAACUAUGCACGUCUUGACGGUACCUAAUCAGGAAGCCACGGCUAACUACGUG
rnacentral:rRNA from 1 species